AGUCGUUUUCUUCAAUAAGUCUAUGACAAAAAACAUAAAAGAUAUGUCAAUGAUUAUUAUAAAUCAGAGUACCGUUUAACAAUGAGGUUGGAUAUACAUCACUAGACAAUGAUGAUGCCCCCUUCUGUAUGCACGAAUAUAUGUAGUUCCACAAACAGUCUCGUGAUUUUCCUCACUUUUUACUGAUGCUUCAUUUGUCGCCAUUUUCCGCAAAAUUAAAUAAAACUUAGUUGAGUGAUACAAGGGGUUGAAAGUAUUACGAAAAUAUCUAGGGGGCAAUAACAAAUAUUCAAUAAACUGCUUCGCCGAGCGCAGCUGGAUACGACCGCAGAGGCCCAACCCUGAACAGUUGGGGCAAAAAUGGACACAAUAUUCAAGCUUGAUACAGGUCUGAAUGUGGAUUGUAAUUAAAUAUUUGACACUUUAUAGGUUUUGACACAGAAUAAAUGUAGUCAAAGAACUUGAAAUUAAUUAUAUGAUUUGAAUUUAUAUUCAAUUAAAGAUUUCUUGCUGUUGUGCAAAACACUGUGCAGUUGUGCAAUACUUAGUAAAUCUGUUUUCAGACUAUAUUUCAAAGCAAAAUAAAUUGUGAC